rnacentral:rRNA from 1 species
CAGUCGCCGCGGGAAUACGAAGGGUGCAAGCGUUACUCGGAAUUACUGGGCGUAAAGCGUGUGUAGGUGGUUGUUUAAGUCUGUCGUGAAAGCCCUGGGCUCAACCUGGGAAUUGCGAUGGAUACUGGGCGACUAGAGUGCGGUAGAGGAUAGUGGAAUUUCCGGUGUAGCAGUGAAAUGCGUAGAGAUCGGAAGGAACAUCUGUGGCGAAGGCGACUAUCUGGGCCAACACUGACACUGAGACACGAAAGCGUGGGGAGCAAACAGGAUUAGAUACCCGCGUAGUCCCUGUCUCUUAUAC